UACAAUGGCGUAAACAAAGGGAAGCGAAGUGGCGACAUGGAGCAAAUCCCAAAAAUAACGUCCCAGUUCGGAUUGUAGUCUGCAACCCGACUACAUGAAGCCGGAAUCGCUAGUAAUCGCGGAUCAGAAUGCCGCGGUGAAUACGUUCCCGGGCCUUGUACACACCGCCCGUCAAGCCAUGGAAGCCGGGAGUGCCUGAAGUGCGUGAGCGCAAGCAGCGCCCUAAGGUAAAACCGGUGACUGGGGCUAAGUCGUAACAAGGUACC
rnacentral:rRNA from 1 species